rnacentral:rRNA from 1 species
AUUGAACGCUGGCGGCAGGCCUAACACAUGCAAGUCGAACGGUAGCACAGAGAGCUUGCUCUCGGGUGACGAGUGGCGGACGGGUGAGUAAUGUCUGGGAAACUGCCCGAUGGAGGGGGAUAACUACUGGAAACGGUAGCUAAUACCGCAUAACGUCGCAAGACCAAAGGGGGGGACCUUCGGGCCUCACACCAUCGGAUGUGCCCAGAUGGGAUUGGCUAGGAGGUGGGGUAAUGGCUCACCUAGGAGACGAUCCCUAGCUGGUCUGAGAGGAUGACCAGCCACACUGGUACUGAGACACGGUCCAGACUCCUACGGGAGGCAGCAGUGGGGAAUAUUGCACAAUGGGCGCAAGCCUGAUGCAGCCAUGCCGCGUGUAUGAAGAAGGCCUUCGGGUUGUAAAGUACUUUCAGCGGGGAGGAAGGCGGUGGAGUUAAUAACUUCACCGAUUGACGUUACCCGCAGAAGAAGCACCGGCCAACUCCGUGCCAGCCGCCGCGGUAA